rnacentral:rRNA from 1 species
GUUGAAAAAUUAGCGGAUGACUUGUGGCUGGGGGUGAAAGGCCAAUCAAACCGGGAGAUAGCUGGUUCUCCCCGAAAGCUAUUUAGGUAGCGCCUCGUGAAUUCAUCUCCGGGGGUAGAGCACUGUUUCGGCAAGGGGGUCAUCCCGACUUACCAACCCGAUGCAAACUGCGAAUACCGGAGAAUGUUAUCACGGGAGACACACGGCGGGUGCUAACGUCCGUCGUGAAGAGGGAAACAACCCAGACCGCCAGCUAAGGUCCCAAAGUCAUGGUUAAGUGGGAAACGAUGUGGGAAGGCCCAGACAGCCAGGAUGUUGGCUUAGAAGCAGCCAUCAUUUAAAGAAAGCGUAAUAGCUCACUGGUCGAGUCGGCCUGCGCGGAAGAUGUAACGGGGCUAAACCAUGCACCGAAGCUGCGGCAGCGACACUAUGUGUUGUUGGGUAGGGGAGCGUUCUGUAAGCCUGUGAAGGUGUACUGUGAGGUAUGCUGGAGGUAUCAGAAGUGCGAAUGCUGACAUAAGUAACGAUAAAGCGGGUGAAAAGCCCGCUCGCCGGAAGACCAAGGGUUCCUGUCCAACGUUAAUCGGGGCAGGGUGAGUCGACCCCUAAGGCGAGGCCGAAAGGCGUAGUCGAUGGGAAACAGGUUAAUAUUCCUGUACUUGGUGUUACUGCGAAGGGGGGACGGAGAAGGCUAUGUUGGCCGGGCGACGGUUGUCCCGGUUUAAGCGUGUAGGCUGGUUUUCCAGGCAAAUCCGGAAAACUAAGGCUGAGGCGUGAUGACGAGGCACUACGGUGCUGAAGCAACAAAUGCCCUGCUUCCAGGAAAAGCCUCUAAGCAUCAGGUAACAUCAAAUCGUACCCCAAACCGACACAGGUGGUCAGGUAGAGAAUACCAAGGCGCUUGAGAGAACUCGGGUGAAGGAACUAGGCAAAAUGGUGCCGUAACUUCGGGAGAAGGCACGCUGAUAUGUAGGUGAAGUCCCUCGCGGAUGGAGCUGAAAUCAGUCGAAGAUACCAGCUGGCUGCAACUGUUUAUUAAAAACACAGCACUGUGCAAACACGAAAGUGGACGUAUACGGUGUGACGCCUGCCCGGUGCCGGAAGGUUAAUUGAUGGGGUUAGCGGUAACGCGAAGCUCUUGAUCGAAGCCCCGGUAAACGGCGGCCGUAACUAUAACGGUCCUAAGGUAGCGAAAUUCCUUGUCGGGUAAGUUCCGACCUGCACGAAUGGCGUAAUGAUGGCCAGGCUGUCUCCACCCGAGACUCAGUGAAAUUGAACUCGCUGUGAAGAUGCAGUGUACCCGCGGCAAGACGGAAAGACCCCGUGAACCUUUACUAUAGCUUGACACUGAACAUUGAGCCUUGAUGUGUAGGAUAGGUGGGAGGCUUUGAAGUGUGGACGCCAGUCUGCAUGGAGCCGGCCUUGAAAUACCACCCUUUAAUGUUUGAUGUUCUAACGUUGGCCCCUGACCGGGGUUGCGGACAGUGUCUGGUGGGUAGUUUGACUGGGGCGGUCUCCUCCUAAAGAGUAACGGAGGAGCACGAAGGUUGGCUAAUCCUGGUCGGACAUCAGGAGGUUAGUGCAAUGGCAUAAGCCAGCUUGACUGCGAGCGUGACGGCGCGAGCAGGUGCGAAAGCAGGUCAUAGUGAUCCGGUGGUUCUGAAUGGAAGGGCCAUCGCUCAACGGAUAAAAGGUACUCCGGGGAUAACAGGCU